AUGCGUGUCUGUCUCUGCAGCCUGCACACGCCAUUAGAGUGCAACGUGCCCGCAACAAAAGAAUUGUGUGACGCUGGUGCUGCAGCUUCCUGGCGCGCUCGGUUUCACUCCACCCGGCUCUUCUUAAGCCCGAGCUCUAGUUCCUUUUCUUCCCUUAGCUACCUCGCUAGCCAAGUAGCCAGGCCAGUCACACACACUGCGCUCGAGAAUCAAGGCGUGAAAGCGACGACACCUCGCGGCGGCGGCGCGGACACUGCCAAGUCGAAGAAGAGGAAGAAGGCCGGCGCGGGCGGGUUCAUCUUUGGCUGCGGCGGCUCCAGGUCGGUGGCCGUCGUCGCAGGCAAUCUCUCCACGAUGGCACUGGCCAAGUCGUCGUCGUCGUCGAGCGCCGCGCCAACGGCGAAGCCAGCGCCCGCAGCGAAGCCGACGGCGCCUGUCUGCCACGACGCCGAGGGCGCGCCGAGCGUGGACGCGCUCCUGCGCCAGCUCCAAGAGCUGGAGCGCGGCGUGCGCGCGCUGGGCGUCCGGGUCCUGGAGGAGGACGGCGUCGCGCAGGCGUGCCGGUGCAGCGCGAGGUCGCCGCGGUACCGGCGGGACGCGUGGGGAGGUCGGCGCGGGCGGCUGGAGGAGGAGAGCGUGGCGGUGGUGACGGAGACGGAGGACCCGCUGGGCGAGUUCCGGCGGUCCAUGGCGGAGAUGGUGGUGGAGAACGGGAUCACGGGCGGCGCGGAGCUGCGGGAGCUGCUGCAGCGGUUCCUGUCGCUCAACGCGGCGCGCCACCACCACCUCAUCCUCCGCGCCUUCGCCGACGUCUGGGAGGAGCUCUUCGCCGGCCCCGGCCGCGACCCCAUGCAGAAGCAGAAGCAGAAGCGCCCUGUUGUCUCCCCUGCAGGCCACAGCGCCCGGGCGAGCAGCUAG
rnacentral:rRNA from 1 species